CAGAGUUUAAUCUCCCUCCCUGCUGUUCCUUUCCCUCUCUGCUUCCUGGCUGCCGUGAAGUAAGCAGCUUUCCUCCGCCAGUCUCUUCCAUCGGGCUGCUUUUGCCUUGAGCUCUUUGACGGUGCACAGACUGAAACUACUGAAAUGUGAGCUAAAGUUAACCUUUUCCUCCUUUAAAUUGUGGGUGUUAGGUAUUGUGUCUCAGUGACGAGGAAAGUGAAUAAGACAGCACCCUAACAAUCAGACUGUCAAACACAAUUUAACAUGAUGCUCUUCUCUUUCAGAAAACAUACACAGAUUUUAAUGAAGGAGUCCUCCCACCAGGAGGACAGAGGAGCCUCUAGAUGCCUGUCCAUCAUUGCUACGGGCCAAUUACAACUAUGUAUCUCUCACGCUUCUGAAUGAAAAUUUUUAUUACAAUACUAAUUCACUACAGGGAGGCCAGGGGAAUGGGGAAAAAAUAAGAACCAAGAUACAUCAUGUAAAGAUAUAUCAAUACAAAAGAAUCUUCACAGAGAAACGACAAAGAAGAAAGGAGAGAUACAGUGCGAUAAGGAGUGGGGAGGGAAUGUGGGCUAAUAAAUUCAGGAAAGACUGCCUGGCGUGGUAGCUCAUUCCUAUAAUCUCAGCACUCGGGAAGAUGAGGCAGGUGAAUCACCUCAAGUUUGAGGCAAGCAUGGGCCACUUAGUGAGUUCAAGGACAGCUUGAACUAUACAGUGAGACUCUGUCUAAAAAAAAAAUCAAGAAAGAAUUAGAAAGAGGGGGGAAUCCCCUAAUGUCAUCAAAAUAAACACAAAAUUAAAAGGAGCACAUAACAGAGCAGUCACUGUGAAACAUACACUCACACAAAGGAGAUAAAAUCAACCAAAUGAAAAAGAAGUAAAGGAGAAAUGAUAGCAUUGAAGUCAGGCAUAAAGUUAUGGUACCUAAUUAGUUGGAGUCCCCUGAAUAAUAAAACAAAACCACACAGUAGAAAAAAUAAUAAAUGAUCCAGAAAGAAGGGGAAAAGAUGCGAGGAAAGUGGAUGAAAAAAGGAAUUAAGAUGUGUUAUGUGUAUGCACCAACUCCCCACAAGUACUAUAACAUUAUGUACUGAAAACAUGUACUAAUAAAAAAACUAGUAGUGUUCUAUAAAGAAAUAAUCUUUUAAAGAGCUAAACAAAAAGAUCAAGAUCCUGCUAAAAAGAAAGAAAAAAACAGUAGGAUUGGCAUCAGGCUUCUCCAUAGCAGCAGAAAUAUCAGACAACAGUGAAAAAAACCCAGAGGACGCAGCAGAAAGAAAAUGUGAGUCAGUGAAAGGGAUUUCAUUCCCCUCAAACUGUCUAAGAGUAAGGCCGCC
rnacentral:lncRNA from 1 species